GACGAACGCUGGCGGCGUGCUUAACACAUGCAAGUCGAACGGAAAGGCCCUGCUUUUGUGGGGUGCUCGAGUGGCGAACGGGGGAGUAACACGUGAGUAACCUGCCCUUGACUUUGGGAUAACUUCAGGAAACUGGGGCUAAUACCGGAUAGGAGCUCCUGCUGCAUGGUGGGGGUUGGAAAGUUUCGGCGGUUGGGGAUGGACUCGCGGCUUAUCAGCUUGUUGGUGAGGUAGUGGCUUACCAAGGCUUUGACGGGUAGCCGGCCUGAGAGGGUGACCGGCCACAAGAGGACUGAGAGAGGGCCCAGACGGCUACGGGAGGCAGCAGGGGGGAAUAUGGCACAAUGGGCGGAAGCCUGAGGCAGCAACGCCGCGUGCGGGAUGACGGCCUUCGGGUUGUAAACCGCUUUCGCCGGUGACGAGGAGUGAGUGACGGUAAUGGGUAAAGAAGCACCGGCUAACUACGUG
rnacentral:rRNA from 1 species